UGGCAAAUCAGCCGGAGAACCGCCCGAAUACACGCGGACAGAAGAGGAGGGCCGAUGACCUUGGUCAGGAGGAUAGAAGCCCACAACGUGGUCCGGCAGCACAGGCGUUAGGAGACGAAGAGUUUGAUGAAGGGGACAACCAGCUCCUGCAAGGAGAAAAAGACUGUGUCGUCUGCUUAAUAUCGAUAUCUGUUGUAUGGGAAUCAGAAGAUCGUCUGCGUUUGCCAACGUCUUCAUUGGUACCAGGAACGAAUGGACAGCAUACGUAUUAACGUUUCAGUCAGACUGUUGUAUUUUAUGAGAUUUAUUAAAGUUCCUAGGUUCACCAACAGAGAAAUGAUAGACUGUGAUUACUUUUAAAGUGUUAUUUAGUGAAACACAGACUCUGUUCAUGUAAAUUUUGUGUCAUUCUCAAAGGACAGUUUCUUUGUUUUAUUUGAUAUAUUUUGGCAAACGGUACUGUUUCUGAUAUAUGUUAAUAAUGUUUUUCAUUAUGAGAUAUCAAUUAUAACGUGUAUAUUUAUGGAAAUGACGGUCUCAUGCUCCUUCUUUUUUAAAUUACAAUUUAAUAGUCGCUCUUAAUGGAUAAUUUGCAAAAAACAAAACAAAAAAGCGGAAAAAAAUUGUUUAUUGACCGGAAGGUGACCGGGCGCUGUGGUUUAAGCUAAGAAAAUUGAACCAUAUACUUCAUAAUUUUACCUUCGAAACUUCCGGUUACGGGUGUAUCAACUCUCGUCGAUGGCAUUAUUUGCGCUACAGAUGAGACUUGUGCGUCUGUGACUUAAUUGAGUUGACAGUUUCGGGUCCGUAGACUGUUUAAUUACUUUUGUUUUGGGUUAUCUCAGGUCACAAGCUUAGUAACGUGGUAAAAUAAUUGUUAUGGCUCGAAUGUUGCUUCGGGUCAUUAUACUGUGUUGACUCGAAUGUCGCUUCGGGUCCUUAUGCUAGCUUUGACUGUAGACUCAAAUGUCGCUUUGGGUCACUUGGUUAUUUUGUUGCCGACUCGAAUGUCGCUUCGGGUCCUUAUGCUAGCUUUGACUGUAGACUCAAAUGUCGCUUUGGGUCUUUUGUUAUUGUUGUUGUUGACUCGAAUGUCGCUUCGGGUCUAUAGGUCUGGCCCUUUGUGUAUUGGUAAGACCUAGUUAAUGUGGUUACCGUUUAGAUGUAUUUAGCCAAUGGCAUUCCCUAACGCCGAAUGUGUGGUUGUGCAUUUUUAGUUUCCUAAGCUGGUACCUGUUGAGGGUACAUUACAUUGGGGAACUGGGGGUUUACGAUUACACAGUCGGUAGGACUCUUAUGGCUAAAGGUUUUGUGUAUGGAUACAGUUAAUAUCUCAGUGACCUGAGUGUAAAUAUGCAAGUGCGUUUUAUUCAUUAAAAUUGGUUGCCUUUUAUAUGACACGCCCGGUCUCCUUUCGGUUAACUUCCUUAUUGCGUUUGAUAUUAGUUUUCAAUAGUUUGGUAGCGAGCUUUAACGCCUAACAUACCGAACUCAGAGCGGCCAUUUUACCCAACUCAUAUUAAUAAAUGUUUGAGCAUUCAUUUUAAUGUAAACUGUAUUAGAUGAUUGAUUAAAUGUUUGAUUAUUCGCCGCUCAGGCGCUUAAUAAAUAGAGUGAAGACUG